ACCACUACCACCACCUACCACCAUCAUCUCAACCUCACAUCUCUCCAUCCAAGGCUAAAAACACACAAGUACACUUGGUGUAUACUUGUAAAGUAAUUCUAGCCCUAACUCUAUAUAAUAUAUUAUAUUAUAUAUAUUAUAUAUAAUUAUAUAUAUAUAUAAUAUAAUAUAAUAUAUAUAUAUAUAUAUAUAUAUAUAUAUAUAUAUAUAUAUAUAUAUGAGCUCCUAUGCUUUUAAAAGUACCAAGUCAUUGUGUUUGUAAGUUUUCGGCCCUUGGAUUAAGGGAUGUGCGGUUAGGAUGAUGUGGCUCUCUAAGGUUGAGUAGUGUUGGUUGAAAUAGUAUAAUCCAACGAUAAAAAUGAUUAAAAGAGAGAUCUAACGUAAAAAAUUUACAAGGCAACCAAGUUUUUGUGCUUUUACAAGCACCAUAGCCGGACUAUAUAUAUAUAUAUAUAUAUAUAUAUAUAUAUAUAAUAUAUAUAUAUAUAUAUAAUAUAUAUAUAUAUAUAUAUAUAUAUAUAUAAUAUAUAUAUAUAAACUCAUUUAGAUGGUUGGAUAUAGCAUUUUUGUAUUUUUUAAUAGGAUUAAUUGAGCUCCCUAUAAAUAUAUUGAAUAGCAAAUAUAUUUCUAUAAGUUCAGUUUUUUAUUUUUAUUCAUGUAGAAGUCCAGUGAUAUUCAUAUUUGCCCCUUUGAUUUGGUACCGUUAGAGCACUGUUUAAUUUCUAACAACAGUUAAGUGAAAUGAUAUUUUUUUCUUAUCCCUCCAAAAGCCCCAACUGCUAUAUUUAUUCCUCUCAAAAAAGUAUUUUAUCUAAUAAUAUAAUAGGGGUAAAAAGAUCAGUUUAACUCAUUCAAUAAUGAGGGUUAAGUACUUUACUCGUGAUUAAUUAUAUUUUUCUAAUGGAUCUUAAUAGCAUGGAUAUAUUUGUUUUGUACGAAUAAAAAUAAAAAAUUGUGCUUUGUAUGGAUAUAUUUACUAUUCGAUAUGUUUGCAGGGAGUAGUUGUAUGCUAUUAACCCUUUUUAAUAUAUAUGCUCCUUAAAGAUAGGUUAUCCUACAGGUGGAGGGAUGAAUUUUAUAUCCAUCAAAACUAUGAUCUCUUUAGGCCCUUUUUGAUAACAGAAAAUAUUUAGAACGAAAUAUUUUAUUUUUCAAAUUUUACCAAAAAAAAGUUAAAAAUAGGGAUGCAAACGGGAAUCAGCUGGAUUGGUGGAGCUCCCACUUCGAUUUGCUCCAAAUAAGGCAGUAAACGGGAAAAAAAUAAACUGAUGCGAGAUAGGAAACAUGAUAAUUUUUAUGAUCGAGGCGGAUUCGGGCAGGAAACGAAAAAAAUUUUGAUCCGCUCCAAAUCCGCCACGAAUCCGCCCCGUCAUGAUCCGCUCAAAAUCCGCUGCGAAAACCGUUUAUAUUUUAAGAAAAUAUCCCUAAAAAUAAGAUAUUUACAAAAAAAUCACAAUACAAAUAAAUUGAUACUCUCAUUUCUCAUGUAUUUGAAACUUUUAAAUUUUGCUUCGAAUUGUAAUUGAUAUUUUUUAUUUUUAUAAUUGAUGUUGUUAAUUUUAUAUAUAACUCAGUAAUAUUAUUUAUUAUUAUUAAAAAAUUAUUAAUUUAUAUUUUACAAAAUAUAUUAUAAUUUUUUUAAAAAAAUAUUAAUUAAUAUGGCGAAUUCGGAGCGUCGGUGGAAGAUGGGUUAUGAAAUUUUGGUAGUCCGGUGUGGGAGGCGCGGUGGGUCUCCGGCCCCCAAAUCCACCCCACUUGUAUCUCUGGUUAAAAAUAACAUAAAUAAAUAAUUUCGGUCAAAGUGGGAAAUUCUAGUUUAUCAUGCCCCCACCUACCUCCUAUUCAUCGCCUCCCCCAAAAGCUUCGUCUCCCUUUCUCUCGCUCCACUUAACUCCAUUUUCUUACCUAAUCUUAACCUCCCUGAAAAACUUUAUCUACCUCUCCCUCUCUCAUCUUCAUGGACGGAGCUAUUAAUAGACCCAAAGGGGCCGUGGUUUCUCUCAACUUUUCAAUAUUUAGUUUAUAAUCUUUUGGUAGCUUAUAAAUUUUUAGUUAAUUUUUAAAAUAUAUGAACAUAUUUUGUAAAAAAUAUUUAGUACUUAGUAUAGGGCUCUCUUUUUUCUUAUGUGUUUUAUAGGUAAAAAUACGCUAAGAACCUCUUAAUUAUAGUGCAUUUUAUUAACAAAAAUUUAAAUUCUAACUAAAUUACUAUUAGAUUUAGUAAAAUUCUUAAGUUAUUUGAUUAGAAUAAUGUAAAUAAAAUAAUUAGAAUUUAAGCGAGUGUAAGUUAACGAAAUAAAUUUAAUACUUUUUAACAUUAAUUAUCUAAUCACUAAAUUUUUUUUAUUAAGAAUUUGAAUAAUUAAAAUCUUAUUUAUUGUUAAAAUUUUUAUUUGUAUAUAUUUUGGCCGCCCUCGUGAUUGAAUCCUCGCUUCGUCCCUGCUCGUCUUCACUUCGAACUCUCAAAUCCUACAUUUCUGGGUAGGAAGCCGGUGCUUUCUCUUUUAUUUUUACUCCAUUUCUUCUCUAGAAUUCAUCUUCAUUAUCUUCCCUCUUUACAAAUUUAUGUAAUAUUGCUUAUAUUACAAAUUUAAAUACAAUUUAUUCGAACAAAAUAUUUCAUAUAAGUUAUUAUCUAUGUUACGAACACAGGUUCAUAGUAUUAAAGGGCAAUAUUGGUAUUUAAAUUUGUAAUAUAAGCAAUAUUACAUAAAUUUGUAAAGAGGGAAGAUAAUGAAGAUGAAUUCUAGNNNNNNNNNNNNNNNNNNNNNNNNNNNNNNNNNNNNNNNNNNNNNNNNNNNNNNNNNNNNNNNNNNNNNNNNNNNNNNNNNNNNNNNNNNNNNNNNNNNNUCAAUUUAAGAUCGGAGUUAUUGAUCUUUAUCUAGGUAGUGAAUAGAAUUUUCUAUCAAAAAUUCAACCUUCUCGGAUUUUUUUGCACCAUUAAACUAGCAAGUGUUCCAUACCAGCCGUUAAAAAUUGUCAAUUUUGUGAGCUUUUGAUCGUAAAGUAAUGAUAUCGAAAAAUUAUAAAAUUUAAUUUUUAGAUAUUUUAAAUGCUCUGUGACACCCCAAUAGUCCCAUAUCGGAUGGGAAUGGGGUUGUCAUUGGGUUUAUAAGAGACUUAGACACUNUCAAAUUUAAUUAAUUUAUAUUAUAUAAUAAAAUUUAAGUCUAAAUAUAUUAUCAUAAAAAUAAUAUUUAUAUUAAUAUAUUUAUUUAUAUAUCUAUUUAUCUAAUAAAAUAAAGAUAAGAAUAAAGUUGUUCUCAGUUUUUCUAGGGACAAUUUUUAGCGGGUUGUUCCAGAACAAUCCAGAACAACCUGUUUUGACCAGAACAAUCCGUUUCCUCCUGUUCUUUUACCGCAUGGUUAUAAUUUAGGGAACAUCCUGUAUUGUUCCGAAAUAUCCUCGGUACCAACCGCAGCUGAGAGAACAAGGUUACCAUCCUAGAGAGGGGUACGUGGAGACGAAUUAGCGCUCUAUGGUUUCGAUCUCGUCCUUUUCCUCCUUAUCUAAAGCCAGAAGCUGGGAAAAAGAGGGAAAAAAAUAAAAAAUAAAAUAAAAUAAAAUCUCCCUUCGGAUUUACUCGGCCAUGUAUGAUUGGGCUGGGCCAGUAAUGAUGCCUUGGGCGAGCCGGUCCAAUUAAAGAAAAUGAUAGCUUGGGUCCGGGCCAGAACUUCCAGUGCCUUUGAUUUUAAGGCCCCGACAAACUCGGUGUACCGGAUUGGACGAGUCGCGUUGGUGGGUCACUGGGUCGAGCCAGAUUUGCUCGAGCCUAAAUUAUCUUGCAUGCGUGAUAGCUAGUGCACCAGCAAAUAUGUAAGUACUCCGAGCAGAAGAUUCCUCUGCAAAUGCCUCGCCCUCAACUCAUCCAAUCGGGGGGAGUCCGCGAAGGCAACGAAAAAUUGUCAGGUGAAAUUUUGUUGUUGCCCUUUAAUGUAAAAGACCCAAAACUCUCCUCAUGGAUCAGUAUCCUGUUUUCACUGGCCAGUAUUCAGAGCAGGAGCAUUAAAAAAAUGUAACCCCAAAUCCAACCUGCUGAAUCUAUUCCCGUACUUGUUACUUGGCCCAUGCCUCCGUAAAAUGGCAUAUUGUUUUGCAUAAAUAUCUUUUAGGCCCGUUUGAUUUAACGUGAAACUGUAAAAAGUAAUUUUUGGUUUUUUUUUUUUUUUUUAACGUUUUGUAGUGUUCGGUGUGUAGGAAAAAAAUAAUUUUUUAUCAAUAUUUGUGAAACAAUCGUUGUACUCUAAAAAUUUAAGUUGUUAGAGAACGGUAUUUAUAUAUUUUUCUAUAUUUAAUAUUUUUCUUAACAUUCCCUCUCACAUCUGGGCUCAAGAUUUUCCCCUCACAUCUGGACUCGAGAUUUUUGUAAUGCCCAUAGCGUGAACUUAAAUUAAAUGAAAGAAAAUUAAUAAUCUUAACACUCCCCUCACAUCUGGGCUGUGAGCUUGAAUUUUUUGCAAGGCGUAUAACGUCAAGCUUAAAUUAAAUGAGAAAAAAUUAAUAAUUUUAACACUCUCCCUCACAUCUUGGCUCGAAAUGACUUAAAUUAACUUAGAGAAAAUUAAUAAUGUUAGAAGUCUAGCAUGACUCGAAAUCAGAAUCUUCUGCUCUGAUAUUAUAUGAAACAAUCGUUAUACUCUAAAAGCUUAAAUUAUUAGAAAAUAAUAUAUAUAUAUAUAUUUUUUAUUUAACACUCCCCUUAAUAACAUUUAUUUGGUUAAAAGAAAAAAAAAUCCACACUUGCUUGGUUCGGUCGAAAAAAAAUGUUUGAAAAAAAUUUUACGCAGUUUAAAUUUUCGUUUUUCACCAAAAAAUAGCAAAAAAAAUAAAAAUUUCAAUUUUUUCUAUAUUCGUAAAAAUACAUGCAUGAAAAGAUAGUUUUACGUCAAGCCAAAUAAGCGGAAAAGUAUUUUUCAUACCAAAAAUAAAUUUUUGGUUCAUCUUAGGCGAACCAAACAUCCCCUUAGUGAAAAACAAUUUCACAUAUUUUUAGUGAAACAUAUCUUUGUGGUUUGUUUUAUAGAAAAAUAUUUUUUUUUUGAGAAAUAUUUUAUAGAAAAAUAUUAUCUGUACACCUCAAAAAGAGAAAGCAUAUUUACACACUAAAGUUUUGAAUUUAUAAAUUUUAAUUUUAAUAUUAUAGAAAAAUUGACAAGGCAUGCAUAGGAGUGAUAUAGAUCCUUAGACAAAGGAGCCUAAGAUUUACUCUUUUGUUUUUGGAUAUAUAAAUCUCACUGUUCUUUUCGAUACGAAUGCGCAACUUCUUUUUUUUUUUUUUUCACUCUUUCUUGAGGCCUUGGAUACUUUAUUCUUGUAGCUUAAUUCACUCUUUUUAUGAAUAAUUAAAGUGAGUAGCAGGCUAUCUUCUUUUUCAAAAAAAAAAAAUGUGCAACUUAAAGUGAAAACUUUUUCCCCUCACUUUCCGUCUCUCUCAACCUAUUUUCUUUUUCUGCAAACUGACCAAUUACAUGUCUCAAACUUUAUCUCGGCCAAAGCAACUAGAAAAAUAAAUGUAAUAUUUUUCAAUGAAAGAAUGAAUUUUCUCAUGGAAAGUGCUUUUAAUAGUUUUCUUUUAAAUCAAAAUAGCUAAUUAAUGAGUUAUACGGAGAUAUUAAAUGUGGAUCGGAUCACGAUCUGAGACUUGUCACUUGGGCAAGAACCAGUAUCUAAAUCUUUCAUAGACAACACCAAUGUUUUCUUUUUUGCCCUACUAGCUAGGUGUGGUUAUUGGAGUGAACCCAUUAACUAAUCGCCACAAAACACUACCUAGUUAAGAAUAGGUUGUUGUUACAUAUCCAAAACAAAAACUAAUCGUUUUUUAGUACAGGUCAGGCCAUUAAAAAAAGUGCUGUACUUAAACUACAAAAAAUAAAUGCCAAAUCAAGGAAAUGUGAAACAGGCCAGAUUUGAGCAGAACUAGAUCGAAGUAGAUCGAGAUUCUUCGCCUGGCCCUGAGUUACAAAUGGUAACUUAAAUGCCCAUGUGAUUGCUGCAACAUUGUCCCUGUCCCCAUUGUCAAUUCAAUCCGAGAAAUUACUGGCUCUGCCGCGCCAUAACUAAGUCCUAUAUAUAUACUGGAACACUUGUAUGUAUGAGUUUUACUACGUACGUACAGAGGUUCCAAAAAUCAUAAUAUAAUAUGUUCUUCAAUAUUUGAAGAGAUCUAGCUAUCUAUAGAUUGAGAGUCACAUAUUUUAGAUAUCGAAUUCUUAGCGAUCGAACAUUGAUUUUUGGGCUGCUCGAUACCUUUGGUAAUAGAAUUACUAAAAAUUUACAAGUUUUUAUAUACAUAUUCUUUGAUUAUUGCAUGUUGUACGUAUAUUAUAAAUGUAGAAUGAAUUAAGUUAGAAUAUUUUGGACAAUAAUAUUCACUGUAUACUUUUUAACAAUUAGAUAUCUAGUCUAGGAUUUAAUAUUGGUAGGUAGAAGUAGAACAACAUUAAUGUAGAAGGUUAAUUAGAAAGUUGAUUGAAAAAAAAAAAAAAAUUAUUUACUGUCAAUUAAUAGUGUUCUAGAUAAACUCAAUGUAUAUGGUGCAUGAGAUGUACGAAUGCACGUGGUGUAUGCAGUAAUUUCUGAUAAAAUUCGGCCCGAGUCCGCAUAGGCCGAGGUGGUUGGAUCCUCUUAAAUGCCACGUGUCUCCAGAGGAACCCCGACCAAAAAGAUCCCAAGAUUGAGCUGCACCCAAUGGGGACUCCAGUACAGGAUCUCAAAUAUGGUUUUUGGUGCGUGGUGAGUUAAAAAAAAUGGAGAAGCGCCUUGGCUCAAGAGGAGGGGUCGACGGAGACAGGGAUAAGGUGAGGAGGAACUUAAAUGAGCCAUUAAUGGCUCCCAAUCCCAUUUGCUAAAGCAUGGUGAGAAAUUUAAUGCCCUCCAUUAAUUUAUUUUUAUGGUACCUCUCAUUAGAAGUUUUAGGCUUUUAUCUCGUCGUGUUAUUUCCAUACUCUACUGAGUUUAGAGUUCUACAUUGCAUCCAUCCAAGAGUUAAUAUAGGUUUUUUUUUAAAUUUUACUGUUUAAAAAAUAGGAUUGUAAUAUGACUAACGAUCGAGCUGAUAACAUUAGGCGUCUUUCUUUUCCUUUUGAAAGAGAAAGAUAGCAUAACUCAAGUUUUUGGUGCGAUCGCUCGAGAUUUGAGACAGUUGAAUUUUACUAAAAUAGUUUCAUUAGCUCCGGUAAGUAUUAUAAAUAGUAGUAGAUAAGAUUAUGCUAUAGUAGGGUAUCUAAAAUAGACCAAAUUAGUAGAUUGUGUCUCACAUAUAUACUUUCUUAAAAAAAAAGGAAACAUACUGAUUAUAUCAAAAUUAGAAAGAAUCCAUAAUUUUAGUUCGCCAUGGGUAGGGACAUUAUUGCCGAUUUAAUAAUUUCUAGACGUUUUUUUUUUUUUCUUUUAAAAGAGAAAGAUAGCAUGUUAUCUCAAAUAAAUUUUGAACUCGAGUCUUCAAAUAUGAACUAUCAAAUUUUUAGUCAACGGUACUAGAUAAAUUGGGGUCUACUACUUUGAACACUCCAAAAUAAAUAUUGCGUUAGGAUUGAGCAACACGUGGCUUAGUGUGCUUAAAUAUUCGGGGCCCAGUGUUUUGGAUUUUACCGGACGUUCUAGUUGAAGUGCAUAUAUAUGUAACUCGGUCGAUCAGUGGGUCAAGGGGAGGAGUAAAUGCUCUAACAUUUGUGAUCCUCUCCCUCCUUGUGAAAGGGCUCCGAUUAAUGGAGAAUUAAACAUUGAUGGUUCCCUUUGGCCACACCCUCAACUAUCAACUAUAACUAGAAGUAUAGGUUUUGGGAAAUUGUGUUUCUUCCAGUUGUGCAUAAAUGAUGUACCAAAUCACUCGAUUUGGAUUAUAUGUAAGAUCCAUGUAUAUGCCACACUAAUAUUUUGGCAAUUUUGCGAUAAUUGUUAGAGCUGGUGGGAAGUAUGAACAUCUUAUUUAUCAUAUAUAACUCCUUAAAUUGUUCAUCUGUGAUAAUUAUUAGCUCAUGUUAAAAUCUCAAAGAUGAUUAUAAUAUUAAUUACAGACUCUUAAAUCGUAUUUUUGAAAUAUAGCAGAUCACCAAACAGAUGGUACAAACGAUUACAAUCUCAAAAUAAGCAUCAGAUGAAACUUCUGAGUGAUAAUCGCCAAAAAAAAAAAAAAAAAAAAAAAAUCUGUAUCAUAUGAAUGAUUAAGCUGUCAAAAUAACUGACAAAUACAACUUUUGAACUGUAAUUGUAAAAAAAAAAAGCCCUAUUGUAACGAUACGUGGUUCAAGAUGUGAUCAUUCAAAUUAAUUGGUCAUAACGAAAUAAUUAAUAAAUUCUCUUUGGAUAAAAAAAAAAUAAUUAAUUUAUAAAGGAGCGGAGGGAGUAAUAAAUGCAUUAAUGUUCAAGAUGGUGAGAAGGACGUACUUACUAAAAUUAAAUAAUUAUAAGGUACCUUUCAAUGUGAUGUGAUGUAGCAUGUAUAAAUACGAAACAUAGGCCUUGCCUGACCAUAUUCAAUUGCAUUAAAUUAACAUCACACUCGGCUACUUAAAUUGCAGUGCGGUUCGAAGAGCAAACCAAAGUUUGGCAUGCAGUCCUUAGACACGACAUUUAAAGCAGGAACCUGAAGAAAGUUUAUUAAAGGGAAAACUUUAAAAAAUUCCUCUGUGGUUUCGUAUUUUUUUAUUUUAAUAUUUCGUAGUUUAAAAUGUAUUAAAUUAGUAUCAUGUGGUUUUAUAUUUUCUCACUUUAGUAUUCUGUGAUUUAAAAUGUAUCAAGAUAGUAUUCUGUGGUUUUAUUUUUGUAUCAAGUUAGUACCUUGUGGUUUUAUUAUUGUAUCAAGUUAAUACCAUAUGAUUUUGUAAAUUACAGGGUACUAAAGUGAGAAAGUGCGAAACCACGGGAUACUAAAGUGAGAAAGUGUGAAAUCAUAGGAUACUAACUUGUUACACUUUAAACCACAUAAUACUAAAGUGAGAAAAGUGAAACCAUAAGGAGGGUAUUUGAAGUUUUCCCUUUAUUAAAUUAGUUUACAAUAAAAGCACAUCAUUUGGAGCGAUUAUAUAUAUAUAUAUAUAUAUAUAUAUAGUUGAGCUAUGAUACUUUUACAAGUAUCACCAUCAUGGUGCUAUUAGGUUUUAAGCCAUUGGAUCUACUUUUUGAUUAUUAAUAGUCCUUGGAUUAAACACUAUUCCACCUGCCACUAUCAUCUCAACCUCACAUCUCUCCAUCCAAGGGCUAAAAACACACAAGUAUCACCCCCAUGAUACUUUUACAAGUAUUCUAGCCCUACUAUAUAUAUAUAUAUAUAUAUAUAUGUAGAGUAGGGCUACUAUACUCUUAUGAGUAUAGAAGCCUUCGUACUCAUAAGUUGUUUUCGAUGAUGGAGCUUCCGAAUCGAUGAUCCACUCCGUUAAAUAUGAUCUAGAGUAUUUGAAACUUCUCGAAAAUAAAUUUUGUAAAUUUUUGAAAUCAUAAUAAAGUCCAUCAAGAAGACAUAAAAUAAACAGUCAAAAUCGAACGACGUCCUAAAAAUGGAUGAUCGGAUCCUUCAAUUUAAGAUCGGAGUUAUUGAUCUUUAUCUAGGUAGUGAAUAGAAUUUUCUAUCAAAAAUUCAACCUACUCGAAUUUUUUUGCACCAUUAAACUAGUAAGUAUUCCAUACCGGCUGUUAAAAAUUGUCAAUUUUGUGAGAUUUUGAUCGUAAGGUAAUGAUAUCGAAAAAUUAUAAAAUUUGAUUUUUAGAUGUUUUAAAUGCUCUAGAUAACGUUUAACGGUGUGGAUCGUCGAUUUGGAAGCUCUAUCAUCAAAAACAACUUAUGAGUACGAGAGUGAUCGUACUCAUAAUAGUAUAGUAGUUAGUUAAGACCGCUCGAUAUUUAUAUUCAUCACCACAUUCUUUUUCUCUUUUACAGCCGGAAAAUGGAAAGAUCAAUCUUUUUAAGUUCAACGGUGUAGAAGUAUCCAAAUUACAUGAAAGUUUAAUAGAAAAUUCUACUUAACAUCAAUAGCAAGAUCAAUACUUCUGAUUUGAAAUUUGAGUCCUUUAUCAUUAUUUUUUAUAAGAUUUUUAUUUUCAGCCGUUCAUUUUGAGACUACUCGUUCACUAGGCAAACGAAGUCAAAAAAUUAUGAAAUUUGGUUUCUAGAUAGUUCCAAUAGCGUAGAUCAUAUCUAAUGGAACUGAUCGCCGAAUCAAACGUCUCAUCAUCAAAAACAACUUACAAGUACGGAGGCCCCGGUACUUUCGAAAGCAUAGGAGCCUACAUAUAUAUAUAUAUAUAGUUGAGCUAGAAUACUCUCAAAAGCACUAUGGGGGUGGUGCUUUUGAGUUUUUAGCCAUUGGAUGGAGAGAUGUGAGGUUGAGAUGAUUGUGGUAGGUGGUGGUAGGUGGAAUAGUGUUUGAUCCAAGGGCCAUUAGUAAUCAAGAAGUAGAUCCAAUGGCUAAAACCUAAUAG
rnacentral:lncRNA from 1 species